GAUGAACGCUGGCGGCGUGCUUAAUACAUGCAAGUCGAACGCUGAAGGAGGAGCUUGCUCUUCUGGAUGAGUUGCGAACGGGUGAGUAACGCGUAGGUAACCUGCCUUGUAGCGGGGGAUAACUAUUGGAAACGAUAGCUAAUACCGCAUGACCACAGUUAUUGCAUGAUAACUGUUUAAAAGGGGCAACUGCUGCACUACCAGAUGGACCUGCGUUGUAUUAGCUAGUUGGUGGGGUAACGGCUCACCAAGGCGACGAUACAUAGACGACCUGAGAGGGUGGUCGGCCACACUGGGAGGGAGACACGGCCCAGACGCCUACGGGAGGCAGCAGUAGGGAAUCUUCGGCAAUGGACGGAAGUCUGACCGAGCAAGGCCGCGUGAGUGAAGAAGGUUUUCGGAUCGUAAAGCUCUGUUGUAAGAGAAGAACGAGUGUGAGAGUGGAAAGUUCACGCUGUGACGGUAUCUGACCAGAAAGGGACGGCUAACUACGUG
rnacentral:rRNA from 1 species